UACAGGGGGGGCAAGCGUUGUUCGGAAUUACUGGGCGUAAAGGGCUCGUAGGUGGCCAACUAAGUCAGACGUGAAAUCCCUCAGCUUAACUGGGGAACUGCGUCUGAUACUGGAUGGCUUGAGUUUGGGAGAGGGAUGCGGAAUUCCAGGUGUAGAGGUGAAAUUCGUAGAUAUCGGGAGGAACACCAGUGGCGAAGGCGGCGACCUGGACAGAUAUUGACGCUGAGGUGCGAAAGCGUGGGGAGCAAACAGG
rnacentral:rRNA from 1 species